rnacentral:rRNA from 1 species
GUUAAUCGGAAUUACUGGGCGUAAAGCGCACGCAGGCGGUCUGUCAAGUCGGAUGUGAAAUCCCCGGGCUCAACCUGGGAACUGCAUUCGAAACUGGCAGGCUUGAGUCUUGUAGAGGGGGGUAGAAUUCCAGGUGUAGCGGUGAAAUGCGUAGAGAUCUGGAGGAAUACCGGUGGCGAAGGCGGCCCCCUGGACAAAGACUGACGCUCAGGUGCGAAAGCGUGGGGAGCAAACAGGAUUAGAUACCCUGGUAGUCCACGCCGUAAACGAUGUCUACUUGGAGGUUGUGCCCUUGAGGCGUGGCUUCCGGAGCUAACGCGUUAAGUAGACCGCCUGGGGAGUACGGCCGCAAGGUUAAAACUCAAAUGAAUUGACGGGGGCCCGCACAAGCGGUGGAGCAUGUGGUUUAAUUCGAUGCAACGCGAAGAACCUUACCUGGUCUUGACAUCCACAGAACUUUCCAGAGAUGGAUUGGUGCCUUCGGGAACUGUGAGACAGGUGCU